GCCGCCGUGGCUCAGUCGGCAGAGCGACAGCCUGUUAAGUUGUUGGUCAGAGGUUCGAGCCCUCUCGGCGGCGCCA
rnacentral:tRNA from 1 species